UGUUUCUGUUUUAUGUGUUGGUGUUUUUGGCCACGAGGCAUGUGGGAGCUUAGCUCCCCGACCAGGGAUUGAACCCCCACCGCCUGCACUGAAAAGUGAAUCUCAGCCACUGGCCUGCAAGGGGAGUCACUGUCCCGUUGGUUUUGUUCUUAAAGCUAGCGUCUGUGUUUGGCAUGUCCUUAUCACUCUUUUGAGUAUCUCCUUAUUUUCUCACACAAUAAUAUAUUUCAGGCUCUUGUACUGGGUUGGCCAGAUAGUUUGGGAAAACCGGAGUGAACUUUCUUGACACACACGGUAUUCUCUGUGCACCAGCCCUGGAAUUUGCCAUUUUCUGCAGGAAGCUCUGGUUCCCUUUCAUGCAGAUUGUAUGUAGAAACCAGCUUUGUUCUAGGUGUGCAGAGUUGUUACUAGAGUCUCAGCUGCUCCCAGGCAUUUCAGUAGACACAUAGAAAAUAAAUACACAUACGCAAACAUUGCAUCUGUAUUCCUGUGCCUGCACACAGAUACUGAACCUGAGUUCACACUGGUAUUGCCUUCCCUUUUUUUGGUAACAAGUUACCGUCUUUUAUUGAAGUACAGUUGAUUUACAGUGUUGUGUUAUGUUCUGGUGUACAGCAAAGUGAUUCUGGUGUAUAUGUAUCCACAUAUAUGUAACAUGUUUUAUAUGUACUUUUUGAUAUUUCCCAUUCUACUAUUUUCCAAAAUGUAGUAGUUGUAUCUGUUUAGUUUAUCCCUGCCCCCCCACCCACUGCCCCUUCCCUUUUGGUAAGGAAAACUUCGUUUUCUAUGUCUGUGAGUCUGUUUCUUUUUUGUGAAUACCUUCAUUUGUAUCAUGUUUUAGGUUUCACAUAUAAAUAUGUCUUUUUCUUCCUGACUUACUUCACUUAGUGUGAUAAUCUCGUGGUCCGUCCAUGUUGCUGCAAAUGGCAUUAUCUUUUCUUGGACACUGAGAGACUUAACUGCCGUUAUGCUCAGUAUGUUUGCUUACCUGUCACCUCCUCUGUAUAUAAACAAUCUGCUUAGCCACUCAGCUGCCUAAGUGUGUGUUUGCGGUGCUAGUGGUGGUCGGGGA
ensembl:lncRNA